GGCGGGUUGCCCGAGUGGCCAAUGGGAGCGGACUGUAAAUCCGUCGGCUUAGCCUACGCAGGUUCGAACCCUGCACCCGCCACCA
rnacentral:tRNA from 2 species